CCGAUCAGCUCCGGCUCGACUCUCCCACCCUUUGUGUACCUACCUCUGUUGCUUUGGCGGGCCCGCGGUUCGGCCUCGUGCCGUCCAGCACCCGCCAGAGGACCACAAAACUCCAGUCAGUGAACGUCUCAGUCUGAAAAACAAGUUAAUAAACUAAAACUUUCAACAACGGAUCUCUUGGUUCUGGCAUCGAUGAAGAACGCAGCGAAAUGCGAUAAGUAAUGUGAAUUGCAGAAUUCAGUGAAUCAUCGAAUCUUUGAACGCACAUUGCGCCCCUUGGUAUUCCGGGGGGCAUGCCUGUUCGAGCGUCAUUUCAACCCUCAAGCUCUGCUUGGUAUUGGGCUCCGUCCUCUGGGACGCGCCUCAAAGACCUCGGCGGUGGCGUCUUGCCUCAAGCGUAGUAGAAAACACCUCGCUUUGGAGCGCACGGCGUCGCCCGCCGGACGAACCUUUGAAUUUUUCUCAAGGUUGACCUCGGAUCAGGUAGGGAUACCCGCUGAACUUAAGCAUAUCAAUAAGCGGAGGA
rnacentral:rRNA from 1 species